rnacentral:rRNA from 1 species
AUCUUACGGGAGGCAGCAGUAGGGAAUCUUCCACAAUGGACGAAAGUCUGAUGGAGCAACGCCGCGUGAGUGAAGAAGGGUUUCGGCUCGUAAAGCUCUGUUGGUAGUGAAGAAAGAUAGAGGUAGUAACUGGCCUUUAUUUGACGGUAAUUACUUAGAAAGUCACGGCUAACUACGUGCCAGCAGCCGCGGUAAUACGUAGGUGGCAAGCGUUGUCCGGAUUUAUUGGGCGUAAAGCGAGUGCAGGCGGUUCAAUAAGUUUGAUGUGAAAGCCUUCGGCUCACACGGAGAAUUGCAUCAGAAAA